rnacentral:precursor_RNA from 15 species
CUGGCCUAAAUCUUUUCUAAGGUCUCUUCUUAGUCUGAUAUUCCAUGUUUCUAUGUCAUGAAACUUGGAGCAUAGAAUGUCAGAUCUAGAAGUAACCUUAACCCCAUGUUGGCAAACCU